rnacentral:rRNA from 1 species
GAUGAACGCUAGCGGCAGGCUUAACACAUGCAAGUCGAGGGGCAUCACGGGUAGCAAUACCUGGUGGCGACCGGCGCAAGGGUGCGUAACGCGUGAGCAACAUGCCCUAUACAGGGGGAUAAUCCAGGGAAACUUGGUCUAAUAUCCCAUAGCAUUUAGAGGUGGCAUCACCAUUAAAUUAAAGCUUCGGUGGUAUAGGAUUGGCUCGCGUGACAUUAGCUAGAUGGUGGGGUAACGGCUCACCAUGGCUAUGAUGUCUAGGGGUUCUGAGAGGAAGACCCCCCACACUGGGACUGAGACACGGCCCAGACUCCUACGGGAGGCAGCAGUGAGGAAUAUUGGACAAUGGAUGGAAAUCUGAUCCAGCCAUGCCGCGUGCAGGAAGACGGCCCUAUGGGUUGUAAACUGCUUUUAAUGGGAGCAAUAAGGUCUACGAGUAGACCGAUGAGAGUACCAUAUGAAUAAGCAUCGGCUAAC